GACGAACGCUGGCGGCGUGCUUAACACAUGCAAGUCGAACGGAAAGGCCCUGCUUUUGCGUGGUGCUCGAGUGGCGAACGGGUGAGAAACACGGGAGUAAGCUGCCCUUGACUGUGUGAUAACUUGAGAAAACUGGGGCUAAUACCGGCUAGGAGCUCCUGCUGCAUGGUGGGGGUUGGAAAGUUUAGGAGGUUGGGGAUGGAUUGCGGGCUUAUCAGCUUGUUGGGGGGGUAGUGGCGUACCAGGGCAUGGGCGGGUAGCCCGCCUGGGAGGGUGGCCGGGCACAUUGGGACUGAGGUACGGCCCAGAGUGCAACGUGAGGCAGAAGUGGAGAAUAUUGCACAAUGGGCGGAAGCCUGAUGCAGCGAUGUCGCGUGCGGAAUGACGGUCUUCGGGUUGUAAACCGCUUUCGCCUGUGACGAAGCGUGAGUGACGGUAAUGGGUAAAGAAGCACCGGCUAACUACGUG
rnacentral:rRNA from 1 species